rnacentral:rRNA from 1 species
UACGAAGGGGGCUAGCGUUGCUCGGAAUCACUGGGCGUAAAGGGUGCGUAGGCGGGUCUUUAAGUCAGGGGUGAAAUCCUGGAGCUCAACUCCAGAACUGCCUUUGAUACUGAGGAUCUUGAGUUCGGAGAGGUGAGUGGAACUGCGAGUGUAGAGGUGAAAUUCGUAGAUAUUCGCAAGAACACCAGUGGCGAAGGCGGCUCACUGGCCCGAUACUGACGCUGAUGCACGAAAGCGUGGGAGCAAACAGG